GUUGACCUCGGAUCAGGUAGGACUACCCGCUGAACUUAAGCAUAUC
rnacentral:rRNA from 6 species